rfam:Oryza meridionalis cultivar OR44 (W2112) chromosome 3, whole genome shotgun sequence.
UAUAAGUGCAGUUGUGAUUUUUCGUGUCCAACGUUUGACCGUCCGUCUUAUUUGAAAAAAAAAUUAUGAUUAGUAUUUUUAUUGUUAUUAGAUGAUAAAACAUGAAUAAUACUUUAUGUGUGACUAUUUUUCUAAUUUUUUUCAUAAAAUUUUUAAAUAAGAUGAAUGGUCAAAUGCUGGACACGAAAAUCUACAAUUACACUUAUA